rnacentral:rRNA from 1 species
UACAGACGGCGCAAGCGUUAUCCGGAAUGAUUGGGCGUAAAGCGUCUGUAGGUGGUUCGCGAAGUCUACUGUCAAAUCCCAGGGCUCAACCUUGGACAGGCAGUGGAGAACUCGUGGACUCGAGUACGGUAGGGGUAGAGGGAAUUCCCGGUGAAGCAGUGAAAUGCACAGAGAUCGGGAAGAACACCAGUGGCGAAGGCGCUCUACUAGGCCGUGACUGACACUGAGAGACGAAAGCUAGGGGAGCGAAUGGG